UCCUACGGGACGCAGCAGUGGGGGAUAUUGCACAAUGGGGGGAACCCUGAUGCAGCGACGCCGCGUGGGUGAAGGAGUGCUUCGGCAUGUAAAGCCCUAUCGGCAGGGAAGAAGCAAGACGGUACCUGACUAAGAAGCCCCGGCUAACUACGUGCCAGCAGCCGCGGUAAUACGUAGGUGGCAAGCGUUGUCCGGAUUUACUGGGUGUAAAGGGCGUGUAGCCGGGUUGACAAGUCAGAUGUGAAAUCCUGCGGCUUAACCGCAGAACUGCAUUUGAAACUGUUGAUCUUGAGUACUGGAGAGGG
rnacentral:rRNA from 1 species